GGCCCUAUCGUCUAAUGGUUAGGACAGCGGCUUUUCAAGCCGUUAACAGGAGUUCGAUUCUCCUUAGGGCUGCCA
rnacentral:tRNA from 3 species